GUGCUCGCUUUGGCAGCACAUAUACUAAAAUUGGAACGAUACAGAGAAGAUGAGCAUGGCCCCUGCGCAAGGAUGACACGCAAAUUUCUAACAGAAGAAGCCUGAGUAU